rnacentral:rRNA from 1 species
GACGAACCGUGCGAACGUUGUUCGGAUUCACUGGGCUUAAAGGGCGCGUAGGCGGACGGUCAAGUCGGGGGUGAAAUCUUUCAGCUUAACUGGAAAAGUGCCUCCGAUACUGAUCGUCUCGAGGGAGGUAGGGGCAUGUGGAACUUCCGGUGGAGCGGUGAAAUGCGUAGAUAUCGGAAAGAACACCAACGGCGAAAGCACUCUGCUGGGCCGACACUGACACUGAGAGACGAAAGCUAGGGGAGCGAAUGGG